UACAGAGGUCUCAAGCGUUGUUCGGAUUCAUUGGGCGUAAAGGGUGCGUAGGCGGCGCGGUAAGUCGGGUGUGAAAUCUCGGAGCUUAACUCCGAAACUGCAUUCGAUACUGCCGUGCUUGAGGACUGGAGAGGAGACUGGAAUUUACGGUGUAGCGGUGAAAUGCGUAGAUAUCGUAAGGAAGACCAGUGGCGAAGGCGGGUCUCUGGACAGUUCCUGACGCUGAGGCACGAAGGUCAGGGGAGCAAACGGGAUUAGAACCAGUAC
rnacentral:rRNA from 1 species